rnacentral:rRNA from 1 species
CUACGGGGCGCUGCAGUGGGGAAUUUUGCGCAAUGGGGGGAACCCUGACGCAGCAAUACCGCGUGAGUGAAGAAGGCCUUUGGGUCGUAAAGCUCUUUUCUGAAGGAAGAUGGUGACGGUACUUCAGGAAUAAGCACCGGCUAACUCCGUGCCAGCAGCCGCGGUAAUACGGAGGGUGCGAGCGUUGUUCGGAUUUACUGGGCGUAAAGGGCACGUAGGCGGCCUGGCAAGUUAAGGGUGAAAUCCCGGGGCUUAACUACGGAACUGCUCUUAAAACUGCCAAGCUAGAGAUAGUCAGAGGCGGGUGGAAUUCCUGGUGUAGAGGUGAAAUUCGUAGAUAUCAGGAGGAACACCGGUGGCGAAGGCGGCCCGCUGGGGCUAUUCUGACGCUAAGGUGCGAAAGCGUGGGGAGCGAACGGGAUUAGAUACCCCCGUAGUC